GACGAACGCUGGCGGCGCGCUUAACACAUGCAAGUCGAGCGGAAAGGCCCUUCGGGGUACUCGAGCGGCGAACGGGUGAGUAACACGUGAGUAACCUGCCCCAGGCUUUGGGAUAACCCUCGGAAACGGGGGCUAAUACCGAAUAUGACUUCCGGCCGCAUGGUUGGGGGUGGAAAGUUUUUCGGCUUGGGAUGGGCUCGCGGCCUAUCAGCUUGUUGGUGGGGUGAUGGGCUACCAAGGCGACGACGGGUAGCCGGCCUGAGAGGGCGACCGGCCACACUGGGACUGAGACACGGCCCAGACUCCUACGGGAGGCAGCAGUGGGGAAUAUUGCACAAUGGGCGGAAGCCUGAUGCAGCGACGCCGCGUGAGGGAUGACGGCCUUCGGGUUGUAAACCUCUUUCAGCAGGGACGAAGCGUAAGUGACGGUACCUGCAGAAGAAGCGCCGGCCAACUACGUGACAGCAGCCGCAGUAA
rnacentral:rRNA from 1 species